GUCUGACUUGGGUAUAGGG
rnacentral:snRNA from 1 species